rnacentral:rRNA from 1 species
AUGCUCGUCCGCUCGCCGCCGCACCAUCAUCGUCGUAGCAUCCAAGGUCGUCCCGAGCCACGCGAAGUUUUCCAGGAGGAGGGACAUCAUCAUCUUCGUCGUCCACGCCCUCGAGUCCGAGCUGGGAAGCCACCAAUCGUCGCCAUCGUCCUCUUCUUCCCAUCUGCAUCGCCGCAUCCAUCGCCUCGAUCCGCGCCAUCCCAAGCUCCUUCGGCUUCACCGAGUCUGCCACGAGCUCCGAUACAUCGAGACCGACGCCGCUGCUACCCAGUACGACUACGGUGUUGA